GACGAACGCUGGCGGCGUGUUUAACACAUGCAAGUCGAGCGGUAAGGCCCUUUCGGGGGUACACGAGCGGCGAACGGGUGAGUAACACGUGGGUGACCUGCCCUUAGCUCUGGGAUAAGCCUGGGAAACUGGGUCUAAUACCGGAUAUGACUCCAUGACGCAUGUUGUGGGGUGGAAAGCCUUGUGCGGCUAGGGAUGGGCCCGCGGCCUAUCAGCUUGUUGGUGGGGUGAUGGCCUACCAAGGCGACGACGGGUAGCCGGCCUGAGAGGGCGACCGGCCACACUGGGACUGAGACACGGCCCAGACUCCUACGGGAGGCAGCAGUGGGGAAUCUUGCGCAAUGGGCGAAAGCCUGACGCAGCGACGCCGCGUGAGGGAUGACGGCC
rnacentral:rRNA from 1 species